rnacentral:rRNA from 1 species
UACGUAGGGACCAAGCGUUGUUCGGAUUUACUGGGCGUAAAGGGCGCGUAGGCGGCGUGGUAAGUCAGUUGUGAAAUCUCCGAGCUUAACUCGGAACGGCCAACUGAUACUGCUGUGCUAGAGUGCAGAAGGGGCAAUCAGAAUUCUUGGUGUAGCGGUGAAAUGCGUAGAUAUCAAGAGGAAUACCUGAGGUGAAGACGGGUUGCUAGGCUGACACUGACGCUGAGGCGCGAAAGCCAGGGGAGCAAACGGGG